rnacentral:lncRNA from 10 species
GAGAGCACCGCCCACAGGCUGAAGAUCCUGCCCCUUCAGGACGGCCGAGAACGCGCCUGCCUUGCACCACCCCCACCCCGCCCCGCGUCCUUCAGGAGAGCCGGAAACGCUCCUACCCCUACUUCGCUUCUGCACGGCCGCGAGAACGCACCUGUCCAGCCCCCUGUUCGCUCCGCCCACUCAGCGCGCGCGGGAGCGCGCGCGGGAGCAGCUCCAACUUUUUCAAUUUGCCGCCAUCUUUACGGCGGCCGACUUCCCAGCCUGCCUCGCGUCCAGGGAGGCGGAGCUCAGGUCACACCUUGGCUGUAAAGUGUCCUAACAGCCACCUACUUAUGAUUACUGCUUUCUUACCAAUAACCUCCCCAGCCUGUUGUGUGGCUCCUACAUCUUGAACAAAAGCGACCAAGGCAUACAUCUGUAGGAGACCAGAAUAUGCCACCCCAAAAUAUGCCUCCUUGGCCUAAGGAUUAUUCUGAGCUAGUAAUUUUGAGAAACAGAAGCUAUGAAAACAGCAUAAGCUACCCCUUUGAAAGAGAAAUUCACCCCGGCCACCACCCCGUCUGGGAAGUGAGGAGCGUCUCUGCCCAGCCGCCCCGUCUGAGAAGUGAGGAGCCCCUCCGCCCGGCAGCCGCCCCGUCUGGGAAGUGAGGAGCCCCUCUGCCCGGCCGCCAGGCCGUCUGGGAGGUGUGCCCAACAGCUCAUUGAGAACGGGCCAUGAUGACGAUGGCGGUUUUGUCGAGUAGAAAGUGGGGAAAUGUGGGGAAAGGAAGGAGAGAUCAGAUUGUUGCUGUGUCUGUGUGGAGAGAAGUAGACACAGGAGACUCCAUUUUGUUAUGUACUAAGAAAAAUUCUUCUGCCUUGGGAUGCUGUUAAUCUAUAACCUUACCCUCAGCCCCAUGCUCUCUGAAACAUGUGCUGUGUCCACUCAGGGUUAAAUGGAUUAAGGGCGGUGCAAGAUGUGCUUUGUUAAACAGAUGCUUGAAGGCAGCAUGCUCGUUAAGAGUCAUCACCACUCCCUAAUCUCAAGUACCCAGGGACACAAACACCGGAAGGCCGCAGGGUCCUCUGCCUAGGAAAACCAGAGACCCUUGUUCACAUGUUUAUCUGCUGACCUUCCCUCCACUAUUGUCCUAUGACCCUGCCAAAUCCCCCUCUCUGAGAAACACCCAAGAAUGAUCAAUAAAUACUAAAAAAAAAAAAAGAGAAACUCACAGUCUUAAAAGAAAUCGCUCUUUGUAAGGGUGUCUCCCUCUCUGUACCAGGAAGAGAAAGUUGACUCUAAAUCACCAGAGACCCUUAUCAAUGGAGAAGGCAGCAACUUGUUUUGUGUGCUUCUCCGGGUCUUUUUCCCAAAACUGGCCUUCCUCACUCCCUUCUUUGUUUUUAGCUGAAGAUGGUACUUAAACCUGAAUUCUAAGCCACUCCUUUGAGAAUUACUCAUUUUCUUGGGCAUCUCACAUGUAUAUGCAAAGUAUACAUGUUAAUAUAGCUCCAUUUGUUUUUCUCCUGUUAAUCUUUUGAGCUGGGCAUGGUGGCUCCCGCCUAUAAUCCCAACAUCUUGGGAGGCCAAGGCAAGAGGAUUGCUUGAACCCAGGAGCUGGAGAUCAGCCUGGGCAACAUGACAGGAGCCCAUCUCUACGAAAUAAAAAAUUAAAAAAUUAGGGCCAGGCGCAGUGGCUGACACUUGUAAUCCCAGCACUUUGGGAAGCCGAGGCAGGUGGAUCACAAGGUCAGGAGUUCAAGACCAGCGUGGCCAAGAUGGUGAAACCCCCGCCUCUACUAAAAAUACAAAAAUUAGCCAGGCAUGGUGGCAAGCGCCUGUAAUCCCAGCUACUCGGGUGGCUGAGGCAGGAGAAUUGCUUGAACCCGGGUGGCAGAGGUUGCAGUGAGCCGAGAUCAUGCCACUGCACUCCAGCCUGGGUGACAGAGCAAGACUCUGUCUCAAAAAUAAAUAAAUAAAUAGCCAGGUGUUGUGGCAAGCUCCUGUAGUCCCAGUUACUUGGGAGGCUGAGAUGGGAGGAUCACUUGAGCCUGGGGGUGUGGAGGUUGCAGUGAGCCAUGAUAGCACCACUGUGCUCUAGCCUGGGAGACACAGUGAGACCCUGUCUCAAAAAAAAAAAAUCUAUCUUUUGUUACAAGGACUCUAGCUGAGAAUUUAGAAGGGUAGCAAGAAAAUUCAUCUUUCCUCCCCUAAAUAUGCUACUGAUAGAGGCGGGAGACAGCCAAAUGCCAUCCAGGUCAUUAUGCACAGGGGGCUUGCCUAAACAUGCCUACAGUGAAAAAUUCUAUCCCUUAACACAUGUGCAGUAAGGGAAAUAAAUCAGUGUGGAGUGGCUCAGAUUAGAGGCCUACAUGUGCACUGGGGAAAUGGGGUGGAGCCACCAGGAAUUCAUGCUUUAUGCAGGGGAGCCGGGCUUCUUCAGCUCCAGUAUGGUGGCCUGAUAUUCAGUCUGUGGAGUAGGAGCCUGUUGGCAGGACCACCUCUUUGCUAAGGGCUUUCUUUUCACUUAAUACAUUCUGACCCUUCAAUGUGUCCAUGUGCCUAAUUUUUCCUGAUCGGGAGACAAGAGCCCAGAUUUUAGCUGAACUAAGAAGAAAAAUAUCGUGCGUCACUAGUUGGCCUGGAAGAACAAUGGAAUUACUCAUUUGAGAUGUGGGUUUGAAGAAAGUUAUUUUUAGUAUUCUGAUAAGCAGUUAAAAUACUGCUGUCAUGUUUCUCUCUUUGUGCCAGUCUCAUGCAGUUUCCCAGCAAAAUCACAAUUAAACUGAUAAUGUGAUUUUUAUGUUUUGGCAUCCUUUCAGAUUUUGUUUUUUUUGUUUUGUUUUUGAGACGGGGUCUGGGUGUGUCACCCAAGCUGGAAUGCAUUGGCAUAAUCACAGCUCAUUGCAGCCUCAACCUCUGGGGCUCAAGUGAUCUUCCCACCACCUCAGCCUCCUGAGUAGCUGGGACUAUCAGCGGACGCCACCAUGACUGGCUAAUUUUUAAACUUUUUGUAGAGACGGGUUUUGUGAUGUUGCUCAAGCUGGUCUUGAACUCCUGGGCUAAAGCAAUCCUCCUGUCUGAGCCUCCUGAAGUGCUGGGAUUACAGGCCACGAUGUCUGGCCUCUAAUUACUUUGAUAAUAAGUAAGCAUCUCCCCUUCUCUUUUUUUUCUGAGACAGAGUCUCACUCUAUUGCCCAGGCUGGAGUGCAAUGGCACAAACUUGGCUUUGCCUCCUGGGUUCAAGCAACCUCUGCCUCCCAGGUUCAAGCAAUUCUCCUGCCUCAGCCUCCCAAGUAGCUGGGAUCACAGGCGUGUGCUACCAUGCCCGGCUAAUUUUUUGUAUUUUUAGUAGAGAUGGCGUUUCACCAUGUUGGCCAGCCUGCUCUUGAACUCCUAACCUGCCUUCCAAAGUAUUGGGAUUACAGGUGUGAGCCACCACGCCUGGCUCUUUGUUGUUUGUUUUUGAGCUGGAGUCUCGCUGUGUCACCCAGGCUGGAGUACAGUGGCGCCAUCUCGGCUUACUGCAACCUCCACCUCCUGAGUUCAAGCGAUUCCCCUGCCUCAGCCUCCUGAGUAGCUGGGACCGCAGGCAUGCACUACCACACCCAGCUAAUUUUUGUAUUUUUAGUAGAGACGGGGUUUCACCAUGUUGGCCACGCUGGUCUUGGAACUCCUGACCUCAGGUGAUCCGCUCACCUCAGCCUCCCAAAGUGCUGGGAAUACAGGUGUGAGCCACCGCGCCUGGCCGCAUCCCCCACUUCUCUAGUGAAUUUUUUGGGGUUAUCACUGUGUUAAAAAGCUCUUCUCUUUGAGUCCCUUGGGAGAUCCCACUUUCUUCAGUAACACACCUUCUCUGGCCCUUCGUAGCUAUUUACUUUCCCAGUACUCUUUCAUCAUCUUGAAACCACCAUUGCAAAAUUAUAACUGAGACAGUGACAGAGAUCUGACCGAACCAACUCCAUCUUGCUUCUAACUUCCAAGCUGUCCUUGUUCAUUCCUGAGUGUAGGCUGAACUAACUUUGGGAGGAACUUAGUUUAUAGUUUAAAAGAAAGACAAUAAUAGCCCUUUCCCAAAACAAACCCCCAUCUUGCCUGGGGACCAGAAUGCCUUUGUAGGAGUAACAAAUUAGCCAAAAGAUUAGAAAUUAUGAUUUAGGAGUCAUGCAGCUAGAGGCUACAGGAUUCUGACCCUCCCCAAAUUGCUCCCGGGAAUAACAUCACUGAAGUCUAAGAUCAGUGCUUGAGAUAUUUUGCAGACCUCGCACUGGAUGGAUCAGCUGGCACCACCCAGAUCGAUAAACUGGCUCAUCAGAUCUUGUGGCCCCCACCCAGGAACUGACUCAAGCACAAGACAGCUUCAAUUCCCUAUGAUUUCAUCUCUGACCCGAUCAAUCAGCACUCCUGACUCACUGGAUGCCACCCACCCUCCAAAUUAUCCUUAAAAACUGUGACCUCCAAAUGCUUGGGGAGACUCAUUUGAGUAAUAAAAAAAGUCCCAGUUUCCCACACAGCUGGCUCUGCAUGAAUUAUUCUUUCUCUAUUGCAAUUCACCUGUCUUGAUAAAUUGGUUCUGCCUAGGCAGCAGGCAAGGUGAACCUGUUGGGC